rnacentral:rRNA from 1 species
CGCGUAGGCGGCUUUUUAAGUGAGGCGUGAAAGCCCUGGGCUUAACCCAGGAGGUGCGUUUCAUACUGAAAGGCUUGAGUACGAGAGAGGAAAGUGGAAUUCCUAGUGUAGAGGUGAAAUUCGUAGAUAUUAGGAAGAACACCAGUGGCGAAGGCGGCUUUCUGGCUCGUAACUGACGCUGAGGCGCGAAAGCGUGGGGAGCAAACAGGAUUAGAUACCCUGGUAGUCCACGCUGUAAACGAUGAGUGCUAGAUGUUGGAAGGAAACUUUCAGUGUCGCAGCUAACGCAUUAAGCACUCCGCCUGGGGAGUACGGUCGCAAGAUUAAA